GACAGAAAGGUGCCUGUUGAAACAGAGUUCUCCCAAAUCAUUCAGAUUCUAACACUUCAAGAUCGUGUUUAUGAUUUAGAGAGCGUUCAAGGCCGUUGCUGUGCAGAAAAUAUUGUACUUGUGCUGGUGUCGGGGAGGAGAUGGCUGAAAAUCAGAGUACUACUCACUGGUCAGUCCUGGCCAAGCAGCAGAACUCUUUCAAGACUGAGCUUGGGCAGUUGGAGGAUGACGAGCUGCUCAGCCACCCAGGACAGUUUCUUAGAUGACAGUGAACUUGUAGAGAAACUCAAAUCAACGAAGUCAACUGCAGCAGAAAUACAGCACAAGCUAGGAACAUUUUGCCUUCAGUGCAGUCUUCCACAAAGCAAUUAAGCAGGCGCAAAAAUCAGGGGAUAUUCAGUGUUGUAUCUCUAACCUGACAGAAGCUGCCUCAUAUUCAACCUUUCUUUUCACAAGCCAAGGACUUUUUGAGAAGGAUAAGCUCAUUUUCCUGGCCCAAACAGCUUUUCAGAUGAGGAACAAUUUUCAGAUCCGUGAUGCUGAUACUUGCUGGGUUUGCUCUUUCUUCUCUAGAAGGUGAUGCCUCUGCCCAAACCAGUUAUCUCGUUACCUUGUGGCUGUG
rnacentral:lncRNA from 1 species